rnacentral:rRNA from 1 species
GAUGAACGCUGGCGGCGUGCCUAAUACAUGCAAGUCGAGCGAACGGAUGAGAAGCUUGCUUCUCUGAUGUUAGCGGCGGACGGGUGAGUAACACGUGGAUAACCUACCUAUAAGACUGGGAUAACUUCGGGAAACCGGAGCUAAUACCGGAUAAUAUUUUGAACCGCAUGGUUCAAAAGUGAAAGACGGUCUUGCUGUCACUUAUAGAUGGAUCCGCGCUGCAUUAGCUAGUUGGUAAGGUAACGGCUUACCAAGGCAACGAUGCAUAGCCGACCUGAGAGGGUGAUCGGCCACACUGGAACUGAGACACGGUCCAGACUCCUACGGGAGGCAGCAGUAGGGAAGCUUCCGCAAUGGGCGAAAGCCUGACGGAGCAACGCCGCGUGAGUGAUGAAGGUCUUCGGAUCGUAAAACUCUGUUAUUAGGGAAGAACAUAUGUGUAAGUAACUGUGCACAUCUUGACGGUACCUAAUCAGAAAGCCACGGCUAACUACGU